rnacentral:rRNA from 1 species
UACGAAGGGGGCUAGCGUUGCUCGGAAUCACUGGGCGUAAAGCGCACGUAGGCGGAUUGUUAAGUCAGGGGUGAAAUCCUGGAGCUCAACUCCAGAACUGCCUUUGAUACUGGCGAUCUUGAGUCCGGAAGAGGUGAGUGGAACUCCGAGUGUAGAGGUGAAAUUCGUAGAUAUUCGGAAGAACACCAGUGGCGAAGGCGGCUCACUGGCCCGUUACCGACGCUCAGGCGCGACAGCGUGGGGAGCAAACAGG